UCAAUCUAUAAGUUUAGUUUAAAUUUAAUUUUCUUCCAAAUUCUAUUUUCUUAGUAACUAAGAGAAAAAAAAGUAAUUCAUAUCAAAUUAAUUUAAUUAAAUCAAGACAUUCUGUGUUUGCAAUUCAAAAUCAAGGGGGGGAAAAAUUACAAAUACUACCAACUUGUUUUAUGUAGAAUCUAUAAAUAUUUGAAGUGUGCUUAUUGCCACUUCUUUAAAAAUUUACAUCCUAUGUACAUUGCUAUUUAGUCUAUUCAUAUCAGCAAAUUAAUCUUUCUUUGUUUCGUAUCAAAAUGAGUUUUUUCUAAUACAAAUAUUUUUUUAUUAACUUCUAGUUGACUAUUUUAUUAGAAAUUUAACUCCAUUGCAAAAUGGUCUCAUUUUCUUCCAAAUUCCAUUCGCUCAAUAGCUUACAAAAGAAAAAAAUAUUUAAAGCAGAAAAGAAUCUUUAAAAAUACAAACUCUUGAUUGUGGAAUCCAUAAAUAUUUGAAUUGUGCUUACUGCUACCACUUUUAAUAUUGUUACAUUAAAUUAGGAUAUACUGUUUGCUUAUAGAUAAGUACAUUGCUAGUUGUUCUAUGUUUAUCAAAACUUAUGAAAGGAAGAUGUGGAAGUUCAUAUUUCUUCCUUUUGUAUCAAUCUAUAUUAAUUAUAUCAAGUUUAAUGAGUAUGUUAUUAGUUACAGAGUUUUCAUAGUUAUACCUUUUAUAAGCUUUAUUUGGAUUUUUUUUUAAAGUGGGUUCUGAAAGCGUAAGUGAAAUUAUUUUCUAUCCUUUGUUGUAGAUGUUUGUGCUAGUUUUUCAUAGAAAAAGUAAUUUGAUAACACCUCAGGUUUAUUUUUCGCUUGAUAUCUAUAUGUAUCUUGUUCUUUAUUUUCACGUUGAUUUCAUAAUAAUUGGUUCUGAAGCAAAAUUUUCCAGGUGCUUUUUUUUUAAUUAAAUUUUUUUCAUUAUUUGCAAUCUUUGAAUAAUUUAAACACAGUUAUUAAAUGGUUCUAAAAUUUCAAGUAUUCUGUUGGUUUACGAUUUCAUUUCUUACAUUUUAAUAUUUGUUACUACUUUAUCACCAGAAGAAGUUCUCAUGACUAUCUCUUUGUGUAAAUGCUCUGCUCGAAUCUGCAGAAGACUAUCUGAUACUAGGUAAGUAUAGUUUUAAUCAUAACGUGUCUUAUUUCUGUUGACAUUUUAAUUUAGAUUGCAUAGGUUUCUAUGCAAUUAUUUAUGUUGGUCUCUUUUUAAUCUCUUCAGGACAAUGAUCACAUAUAAGUGAUAUCGCGAUUACGCUUUACGGCCCGCAGUAUCAUAUAUUGAGACUCCAACACCCCCAUGAGAAGACACACGGAUGUCUUUUCAAAUUGAAACGUUCUAUUUCAAUUUUUAAGCAAUCGAUGGCGCUUUAGAGUCCGUUAUGAUUUCUCCAAGAGGGUUGACCUUCAAUUUGCGCUUUCAAUUCCGAGUUUUUCUUUUUUAUGUGAUCCUGGUAUUUAGACUUGCAAGCAACUGCACUUUUACGGCUCGUUUGAGUGAAUUGGGCACGUGAAAUACUGCGCUCUGAGUUUUUAUUUUCAUUAAAAGGGUGUUAGAAAGGGAUUGAAAGCUUAUUGGUUAAGUAGAUGUUGUCGUUUGCAGUUAGGUGUUUACUAGAUAGUAUAUUGUAUGUAUUGGGUCAGUUUUUGAAUGUUUUUUUUUGGGGGGGGGGGAUAUAAUACAUUUUUUUUCUUCGUAUCAUCCUUUUAGGUCUAAUCUAAAAAAAAAUUUAAAUCUCAUUGAUUACAUACAAGUAAUUCUUCCUCCAAUCUGCAGAAAUCCGCCCAUUUGAUCUUUCCGCUUUAACGGACUUUCGCCAUUUUGAAUAUUUGACACUGUACCGGAAUCUAAUAUCACGAUUCAUAUUCACGUGAUUUUAAUAUCGAACAUCGAUUUUCGUAUUUACCUGAUUUAAUAGUUACACAUAGGAUAAACGCGAUACAUUAACCUAUCUGGUACAUAUGUAUACUCUCGGUCCGGAAAUAAUCUUUCUCUGGUCCUGAAUAGAUUAAAGGCCAAAUAUGAGAUGCAAUGCUUGAUUUUUAAGUUAUGCUUACAAAGCUCAAAGUUUUCCUUUCUUUAAAUGCCCUUAAUUAUUAAACCUUUCAAUAAAUGUCUUGAAAUUUUUGUGAUUUUUCCAAAAUUUUUGUUGAAGUUAACAGGAAGGAAAAUACUAUUU